UACGUAGGGUGCGAGCGUUAAUCGGAAUUACUGGGCGUAAAGCGUGCGCAGGCGGUUUGUUAAGACAGAUGUGAAAUCCCCGGGCUUAACCUGGGAACUGCAUUUGUGACUGGCAAGCUAGAGUAUGGGCAGAGGGGGGUAGAAUUCCACGUGUAGCAGUGAAAUGCGUAGAGAUGUGGAGGAAUACCGAUGGCGAAGGCCAGGCCCCCUGGGCCAAUACUGACGCUCAUGCGACGAAAGCGUGGGGAGCAAACAGG
rnacentral:rRNA from 1 species